GUGGAGCUGAUCUGAUCAUUAUCAAGAGUGAAGAGAAGCAGAGAAACAUAUCUUCAUUGGUCAAGGAGAGAGUGUGGACUGGUUUGUCUGAUAUUGAGAACGAGGGGAUCAUGAAAUGGGUGGAUAAUUCAACACUGAAUCAAGGGUUUUGGCUCAAAGGUGAACCGAAUGACCAAGGUGGAACUGAGGAAUGUAUUGAACUGAUGCCUUCAAAUCCGGUCCUGAACAACUGGAAUGAUCUGCCAUGCUCAGAGAAGAGAGAAUUUAUUUGUGAGAAAUAGGUUUAAUCCC